rnacentral:rRNA from 1 species
CAGUCGCCACGGGAAUACGGGGGGGGCUAGCGUUGUUCGGAAUUACUGGGCGUAAAGCGCACGUAGGCGGCUUGGUAAGUUAGAGGUGAAAGCCUGGAGCUCAACUCCAGAAUUGCCUUUAAGACUGCCGAGCUAGCAGGUGAGAGAGGUAAGUGGAAUUCCGAGUGUAGAGGUGAAAUUCGUAGAUAUUCGGAAGAACACCAGUGGCGAAGGCGGCUUACUGGCUCAUACUGGACGCUGAGGUGCGAAAGCGUGGGGAGCAAACAGGAUUAGAUACCCCUGUAGUCCCUGUCUCUUAUAC